ACUUACCCUGUUUCCUUGGGCCUGCCCGUACAUUGCGAUCUGAGGGAGAAUUCGGAAAGUAGGAAAGUGUUUCAGUAGAAUGAUUUGCUUUAUCUUAGUCUGUCCAUCUCAUGACAGGCCAAUGUCAAAUUAGUUCAAGGCCAGAAGGAAAGUCUAGGACUUUUUCUGGCACCUUAAUAGGACUCUGAGCAAUGCGCCCCUGCAGGCCAUGGUAGACAGCUAAGGUAAACUGAGGAGUUACAGUAUCAAAGACAGACCUACAGGUGCUUCACAGUUACAUCCACUACAGCUUAGAAAGUAGGGCCAUGUUAAGUAUGUACUUGGAGCAAUACCCUCUGAAUUUCCUUCUUUUUACCACUUUGAUUCUUAGGACUUGGUUCACAGUGCCACAGCAGGGCUACUGACUCUGUUGUUCGGAAAGUGACAUUUGUGACAAAGGUCAGCGAGAUUUAUAGCCAGAGGAAGAUUUGCAGAAACAAAUGAAUCACUUUAUGACUUGGCAGAUUUUAUUCCAGAGAAGUGUCUAAUGACAGUGUUUCUCAGCCAUAUCAAGAUGCCACCUAUAUCUGAGUCACCAAUGAUAUUUAUUAAAAUUUUCCUCCCUGGUUGGGCAUGGUGGUACAUGCCUAGUACUUAAGAGAUGGAAGCAGGAGGAAGAGAAGUUCAAGGCCACCCUCAGUUACAUGUAGGGAGUUUGAAAUCAGUCUGGGUUAUGUGAUACUCUAUAUCAAAAAACAAAAUAACAACAACAUUUAUAAAUAAAUAAAGUGUUCAUUCCUUUUCUGUUCCCAGACCUUUGUUAAGGCCUCAGAGGGAUGGGUCUGCAACACUGUAUUAAAAAAGUCGUUGUCUGCUGAAUUUUACAGAAACUACUAGCAAAGCAGAGAGGCAAAGUGUAAAUUCUGAAGGCACAGACAUCAGGGGUCAAAGCCUGGCCUUGUCAUUUAUUCAUUCUGCCCUUUGGACAAGUUAGUUCUUGGACCUCUUUGGCCCUUGGUUUCAGCCUAAUAAUAUUAUUGACCUUACACGGCUAUUAUUAUAUUAUGCCAGAGGAGCCAAUCCAUUUAAAGUUUAGGGUAGCAUCUGGUAUAUGAUGAUGGCAAAGGAGAUCACCAUUGUUAUAAUUACCAUGUAAAAAGGCUUUUAGGCAAUGGUUACUGACUAUAAUUGUUUGUUGACUGGGUACACUGUGAAAGUGUUUGCCUACAUGCAUGUAUGUGUACCACACACAUGCCUGGUGUCUCAGGAGGCCAGAAGAAGGUGUCAGAUCCCCUGAAACUGGAGUUACCGAUGGUUGUGAGGCAACAAGUAGAUUCUGCAAACCAAACUUGGGCCCUCUGAAAGAUCGGCAACAGGAAAUGAACUGUCUACUCCACUGAGUUUAUCUUGAACAAAGAAGACCUCAAAGCUGCUCCACAGUGACACACUUCCUCCUACAGGGGCCACACCUACUCCAACAAAGCCACACCUCCUAAUAGUGCCACUCCCCUUGGGGGCCAUUUUCUUUCAAACCACCACAAUACUCAAAUACGUUUUCAGCUUACUUUCUGUAUGUAUUUAUGUGUUUGUAUGUGUGAAGACUAAGGGGUAUCUGUGUGUUUGCAUGUGGUAGAGGUUAGAGUCAACGUCCAGUGUGGUCUUCAGUUGUGCUUUAUUUUUUGAGGCAGGGUUCCUCUAGCUAAACUUGGAGCUUAUUGAUUAUAGCUAGAUUUCCUGGGCUAUAGCUAGAUUUCCAGCAAGCCCCAGGUAUCCUUCUGUUUGCCCUUUCCUUCCCCUCAAAUGCUGGGCUUACAGGUGUGUGCCAUGGAGGGUUUGUUUGUUUGUUUUUUAAAUGCUUUUUCUGGGAGAUGGUUGUAUUUCAGUUACCUCUGAGAUGGAAACAUCCCAUCUUGAAGGGAAGCUCCCUCAACAGGAAGGUGAACAACGCAAAACAGCUUGAGGAAGUCCCUGAAGCCAACCAGAUUUUCUAGGCCCUGCCCAGCCAGAGUAAACAUUAACCCUGAGCCACCCUCAGAUGGGAAGCUGAAGCAAAGAAAGACUCUUAGAUGGGAAAAGCUACAAAGCAGCCGGAGGCCAGACCAGCAGCCCAGAUUCGGGAAGAACCUGGCACGGACUACCUCCAACCUGUUGAGCUUCCUGCAGGCUGUGCAGUGUGCUCCAGGUUCCCAGGGACCCCCGUGGAAGGGUCGGUCAACCCUCUGGGGUUGCGACCCACAAGUUGGGAAACACUGUUCCAAAAGUAAAGAAGGCUUUAAGGAAGAGGAGUGGCAUCAUCUGUCUAACACGGCUGAGCAGAGAAGAGGAAGAAAGAGAAGAGAGUGGAUUGUUGCACGUAACAACAUGAAAUCUUCACAGGAAGUUUCAGUUCAGUGGGAAAUGGGAAUAUAAUUAAAGAGAACUAUAGAGACAAUUCCACCGGGAGACCGGAUAGCUGUUUUCAAAGCAGGAAAAUUGGCUGGGGCUGUGAAACCAAAUGAGAAUUUGGGUUUUUGUUUGUUGUAAGGGGGAGAAAAUGUAGCACAUUGAUGUUUAAUGUUGAUUGUGAAGAUCUAAUAGAAAGAUAAAAAUGGUCAUCAGGAAAAAAAAGAGAGGGGAAAAUUAUUGGAGGGAUACCUCAGUGUAUUUGAGAAGGGAAGGGGAUGGAGUCUGAUACAGUAGAGUGGAGAGCAUUGCUAGUUUAGUGACAGGAUGGGAGAUGUACCCUGUGGCCAGCAAUGCAAGUAAGAGGUGGUUGCUGGUGAGAUUUUUUCUCCUGGUUGAACGUAUUUUGUGAGUGGCACAGAAAGUGAGAUCACUAGAGGAGAAAGACAGUAGAAGUCUGAGAUGUGGGAGCAAGAUUAGGAAGUCAAGAACUCUCAUUGGCCAGGUUGUAUUAAGGUCACACCUCAGGUUAGAGAUUGUGAUUGUGUAGUAUCAUCUGAUACAUUAGUUGGUUUCCUCCCAUUUCAUAUAGCAGAGCAGGCUCAGGAUUGGUGAAGGAAGACAUAGAUUUAAUCUGGGUGGGGUUAGCCUGGUUCCUCACACUGAAAUCUGUGAGAGGCCAUUUUUGAAAGUCUGUCUUUUCAGCUCUCCCUAAACUAUCUGCUACUCACAACAUCACAAUAUCAGUGUUUUCCUUGCCUCUGGGAUAGAAGGUGUGUGUGUGAGUGUGUGUGUGUGUGUGUGUGUGUGUGUGU